rnacentral:rRNA from 1 species
CAGCCGCCGCGGGAAAACGAAGGGGGCUAGCGUUGCUCGGAAUCACUGGGCGUAAAGGGUGCGUAGGCGGAUUUCCAAGUCAGGGGUGAAAUCCUGGAGCUCAACUCCAGAACUGCCCUUGAUACUGGAAGUCUUGAGUAUGGGAGAGGUGAGUGGAACUGCGAGUGUAGAGGUGAAAUUCGUAGAUAUUCGCAAGAACACCAGGGGCGAAGGCGGCUCACUGGCCCAUAACUGACGCUGAGGCACGAAAGCGUGGGGGGCAAACAGGAUUAGAUACCCCUGUAGUCCCUGUCUCUUAUAC